rnacentral:misc_RNA from 1 species
UUUUAAUAGAGAAUGGUGCAAGUUCACCUUCUUUAGGUGCUAAUGAUGAGUGGUUAAAUUCCAUUAUGAGCCAAGGGGGAGAAAAUGGAAACAGCAAAGUGCAGCAGCCCAAGUUUCAGCGAGUUCCACAGAUGCUUCGUGGGAUCAAACCCAACUCUGAUUGCUACGAUCCUAUGGUGGUAUCCAUUGGUCCCUAUCACCAUGGCAAACCAGAGCUCCAGGAGAUGGAGAGGCUCAAGAUUACAAUGGCCCGCCAUUUUUUUGAACGCAGUAAAGAACCCGUUAAAGCGUUGUACAACAAGGUGGCUCAAGUGGCCACUGAUGCAAAGAUAUGCUACUGUGAGAGCUCAAUUGAAGGAUUGAACGAUGAGGCAUUCACCCAAAUGAUGUUUCUUGAUGGCAGCUUCGUUCUCCAAUUCAUCUUCUGUCCUGAAGAUAGAAUUAAAGAGAUGAAACCUCAUGUUGAAGCUUUUGUGAUGCGGGACUUGUUCUUAUUGGAGAACCAACUUCCUUUUUCAGUGCUUAACUCAUUGAUGAGCUCGAGUUUCGAAGAAGGGAUGAAAAGCAUCCACGAUUUCAUAGAGGAAAUUCGCUGUUUUCCCACCAAACAAGCUUCGAUCAAGGAAAAUAUAAUGAAGAAUGUUAGCAAACUCUGGCCCCAAGCACAAAAAAUGGAGCCAGAGGAAGAAAAUAAUCAGGAUCCUCAGCCUCUCCACCUUCUUGAGCUUUUUUAUACUCAAUUCAGUAAAAAAAGCAGCUCCGCUUUCCCUCGCAGGAAAAACAAAAACAGAAGAGUAGACAACUGGUUCUCAUAUCGCUCCGCCAACGAACUUAAGAGCGUGGGAAUCCACUUCGAGCCAAGCAAGACUGCUAGUUUCAUGGAUGUCAAGUUCAUAUCAACAUCCCUCUAUGGAGUCCUUAGACUUCCUCCAAUUCACAUAGGUGACUUGACCAAGUCCUUGCUCUUAAACUUGGUUGCCUACGAGAUGAGCACCGACACAUCCAUUGUUGCAAAGAUCACUUCAUAUAUAUGUUUCAUGGAUUCACUGGUCGACCAGCCCGAAGAUGUGAAGGAGCUGCGAUCAAAUGGCAUACUUGUGAAUUUUCUUGGAUGCGACCAAGAGGUGGCAGAUCUCUUCAACGAGAUAUCCAAGCAUCUGGUGCUCCACCGAGAUGCUUUUGAGGAUGUUAAGGACCAAAUACAAUCGCAUUACAAGAACAUUGGAAAAAGAUGGAUAGCCGAAUGGCUGCAUACUCAUUUCUCUAGCCCUUGGGCGCUUUUGGCCUUUCUCGGUGCAAGUCUUGCUCUUGUUCUUACCGCCAUUCAGACCUACCUAUCAGUGUUCCCAACCAAAGGAUGAAUACUGUUUAGCAAGAACCCUGCCCCCUUCAGAAAAAUUUGUUGGAGUUGACGAGUUUUUGGUGAAUAUGAGGUGAGAAAAUAUUUUUGAUGUAGUAUUUUUAGUUGAAAAGUAAUGGAUCUCCAUAGUUUGAGCAAGAUUUGUAGGAAUUUAUGCAUGUUGAAUUGGAGAAGGCUUCCCUUUGCCAGGGAGAGUCGGUGUGUGUGGAGAGUUGAGAGAGAAUGAAGG